GCGUCCUCUCCCCUCCCACGCGCCUCCUCUCCUCCCGCGCACAUCACCGCCGCUGCCUCGAACCGCGCCGUCGGCGACCAGAUCCGCCGCAACAGAGCCCCCCUCCCAACGACGACGAGCAGCAGCGGAGGGAGGACGAGGAGCACGACGGCGGCGGCGGCGGCGUGGAGCAGCAGCAGGCCGACGAGCAGCAGCGAAAGGAGGACGAGGAGCACGACGGCGCUCGCCCCGGCCCCCAUCCUUGACCUCACGCAGCCUAUCGUCUCCUCCCCGGCCCAUCGUCGGUCGCUCCUCCUCCUCCUCCACAUCGGGGUCGGGCAGGAGGAUGAGCGCUCUCCCCCGCGUCCGCCUCAACGGGAGAAGGGCUGCUGCCGUCGCUGCCGACAAGGACAUCUACUUCCCUGGCGCUUGCCACUGCCUGUUGCAAGCCUCUGAUUUUUGUCUUUCUUUUCUUGCAGAUUCGUCCAUUGUCGCCGGUGCCUCCUUCUAUCUGGCCUUCACGGAUCAGUGGUUCAACCCUUCUCCUCCUCCUUAUUUUCACUCCUCUAUUCUAGGGUUGGAUGUAUAAAUGUGCUGCUGUGUGAAUGAGAGGGGAAGAGGGUAGAUGAGAGGAUUGCUACUGUCUCACCUGCCUCUCCGUCUUCUUCUUCUACUACGUCCUAGGGAACUGGCAAAAGAUUUUUGUGGUUUUUAAUACUGCUUCAGAAUCAUUAUAUGGUGCUUGUGGGUCCAUGUACAAACCAGACAUGGAACCCGAAGAACUAUUUGAGACAAUCUCACAAGCAUUGUUGUCUUCUAUUGAUUGUGAUUGCCUGAGUGGUUGGGGAGGUUAUGUUCUUAUUGUGCGCACAGAAGGAGCUCUUCUCAAGAUGCCAGUGGCCAGCGCACAGGGGUCUCUGUUCGACCGUAUCCCCGGCAAGCAAGGAAAACUUGGAAGUAGAUCAUGAUGAGUGUCAUCUGAGACUCGGGCUCAGUGAGAACAUGAUGAGUGUCAUCGUUCUCUCUGACACUGAUGUUGAAGACGACAGGACCUGUCCACCACGUAUCCAGAUUACUAGUGCUCACUCCUCCAACAACAAUAUCUACCGUGCACAUACAUAAUGUAUCAUCUCUCAUGACUCCGAUGGUUUGUAUCUUGGAAGCAAUUCGGGUGUUGGUCUAAGGUUGCCAAGGGGUAUUGCUGAUAGUUGCAGUCUGGUGAUUGUUGUUAUCUUAUAGAAGGGCUUUUGCUUCGCUUCAAGGGUCUUCUAUUUGGAGCACUGGACCAAGAGCACAUGGAGGGAGCUCUUCUCCACCGCGCCGGCAACAGGAACAAGGAAAAUCCAGUCCAUGGUGCCACCAAUGAACAAGGUUGGUUUGCACAAGGUGCUGCAGUUUUCAAGAUAUAUCAUGUGCUCAAAUGUUUGAAGGCUUAUGUUGUGUACUGAAAGAAUCCUCAAAAAAAUUAGAAGGUGUCUCUUUGUGCCUCCUUCCAAUGACGGCGAUGAACAUCUUUUCAAUUUCCAAGAAUGAUGAUGUGCCGCGGGGAUGGACAGUGAAGAUUGUUUGUAGUUUUUCCACUUGAUGUUUGUUCGGUAAGAAAACAACAAUGUAUAUGAUUGAUGAGUUGCAUGCUAUAACCGCUCACUGAUGCUAAUUGGUUCUUACACGUAAAAACAAGCUUCAAAAAUUGUAUCGGUACUUCUAUCGUCAAUGCUCCUCCUCUGUUUUUUCAUCUUCAGUUCAAAGAAUCGUCCUCCAAUCCAAAAAGUAAAUGUUAAUUACUGGUCUUCAUCGCGUGUUGGAUGGAAAGGCCUCUUCUAUCUUA